rnacentral:rRNA from 1 species
UACGUAGGGUGCAAGCGUUAAUCGGAAUUACUGGGCGUAAAGCGUGCGCAGGCGGCUUUGCAAGACAGAUGUGAAAUCCCCGGGCUUAACCUGGGAACUGCAUUUGUGACUGCAUGGCUGGAGUGCGGCAGAGGGGGAUGGAAUUCCGCGUGUAGCAGUGAAAUGCGUAGAUAUGCGGAGGAACACCGAUGGCGAAGGCAGCCCCCUGGGGUAACACUGACGCUCAUGCACGAAAGCGUGGGGAGCAAACAGG